rnacentral:rRNA from 1 species
ACAUGCAAGUCGAACGAAGCACCUUGAUUUGAUUCUUCGGAUGAAGAUCUUGGUGACUGAGUGGCGGACGGGUGAGUAACGCGUGGGUAACCUGCCUCAUACAGGGGGAUAACAGUUAGAAAUGACUGCUAAUACCGCAUAAGACCACAGCACCGCAUGGUGCAGGGGUAAAAACUCCGGUGGUAUGAGAUGGACCCGCGUCUGAUUAGGUAGUUGGUGGGGUAACGGCCUACCAAGCCGACGAUCAGUAGCCGACCUGAGAGGGUGACCGGCCACAUUGGGACUGAGACACGGCCCAAACUCCUACGGGAGGCAGCAGUGGGGAAUAUUGCACAAUGGGGGAAACCCUGAUGCAGCGACGCCGCGUGAGCGAUGAAGUAUUUCGGUAUGUAAAGCUCUAUCAGCAGGGAAGAAAAUGACGGUACCUGACUAAGAAGCACCGGCUAAAUACGUGCCAGCAGCCGCGGUAAUACGUAUGGUGCAAGCGUUAUCCGGAUUUACUGGGUGUAAAGGGAGCGUAGACGGAGUGGCAAGUCUGAUGUGAAAACCCGGGGCUCAACCCCGGGACUGCAUUGGAAACUGUCAAUCUAGAGUACCGGAGAGGUAAGCGGAAUUCCUAGUGUAGCGGUGAAAUGCGUAGAUAUUAGGAGGAACACCAGUGGCGAAGGCGGC